ACUUGAGAUUUGUUAUGAAUAUUUUCUAUUCUGCUUUUAAGUGUUUACAUUAGUUGUUGCUGAAAAUGUUAAUGGAAUGCUUGUGUCGUCCGGAACUGCCUGCUGGCUCCGAUGAUCUUUUUUUUGUAACAUCAUUCUUAUUGUGAUGUGUUGCCUAGCAUAGCACUGCGUGUUCCUGCUCAUUCAUGUACUUUUUUUUUUUUUGUUUGUUGCACCUGUU